rnacentral:rRNA from 1 species
CAGCAGCCACGGGAAUACGAAGGGGGCUAGCGUUGUUCGGAAUCACUGGGCGUAAAGCGCACGUAGGCGGAUUUUUAAGUCAGGGGUGAAAUCCCGAGGCUCAACCUCGGAACUGCCUUUGAUACUGGAGAUCUUGAGUUCGGAAGAGGUUGGUGGAACAGCUAGUGUAGAGGUGAAAUUCGUAGAUAUUAGCUAGAACACCAGUGGCGAAGGCGGCCAACUGGUCCGACACUGACGCUGAGGUGCGAAAGCGUGGGGAGCAAACAGGAUUAGAUACCCCAGUAGUCCCUGUCUCUUAUAC